GGCAACCAGCGCUCUACUGAUUUCCAAAUAGCACGUGAGGCCACUGGAGUCUGCAAAACCUUCCUUCCACCGACUGAGUUCCCUGCUGAUGCUAUUUGGAUAAUGUCUAAUUUGCCCUGCGUUUCAGAGAAGAUGGCUAUCUUGCAUAUAACUUAAGAGAAUCCCCCCCAGCUAAAAAUAGAAUUAUCUUAGGAAACACAUUUUUUCUAGGUGUUUUCUCCCUUAAGUCACAUAUUCUAGGGAAGCACUGUUUUUCUGGGAAAUGUUUCCUCCCCGGAGAAUUGUAUCUGCCCCCCUCAUGCACAUUCGUCAUGCCGCCAGCUGUUCUCUGUUGUCGUCACUUGCAGACUGCAGGCUGGGCCCACUCAGGAGUGACUCUCGCCAGGGUGAGAGAAUCUUGCACGAGUGCCUGUCACUCACCAGCUAAGCAUGGAAAAGUACUCCUGGAAAUGUGGCUCCUGGACUCUCUUCUUCAUCCCAGGUGUGUCUUCACUGCGGAGCUGCGCCAACACCUUUCUGCUUUACAACAUCCUUUGCUUACACAAGCCAUCAGGGCGUUCCUGCCAUUCCACCUACCUACCUGGAAACCCAGGUUCCUGUUUCUAAGGAUGAGAUCAGGAAGACAACAGAUUUCUGACUUCUUUUGGAGAAUUAAAAAAUCUGGGACUAGAAGGCUAUUUCCACUUAGCAACUUUCAGAUGGAUCUGACACAGUAACCCACAAAAUGAAUAUGGCCAAACACAGAAGACCAUCUCAUGGCCUGAGGAUCAUGGAGGCGCUCUGUUACUCCCUUCCAGAGAACCUACUGUAGGAAGCAUCACUGACUGAUGGCUUCCCAUGGACACAUCUUUGGAUUCACCACAAUGCUUAUGCCAAGCCUCACUUCUCUCAAGCUACUCUCUGCCAGUAACUAAGCACAACAGGGUACUGGAAUCUAGUCAUCCUUCCCAAUGUGGGAUUUUUCCAAGUGGCAACAUUGCCUUGGAUACUCCCCAUCAGCCUGGCCAAAAUUUUCUGCACUUUGAAACUCUGCCUACUCCAUUGAUCCUUCUCUCCUUCCACGAGUAUUAGAUCUGCAACAUGAUCUGAGGACCCUUCUUACCUGCUCCUGAUUCCCAACCCCUUUUCCUUUACGUGGCCCUCAAGGAUCCCCCUACUCCUGGUAUCCACACCCUUGCAUAGACAUCUCCAAGAUUAGGUUAUAAAAGAGGGGGUCUUCUGUUUUGGGUGCACUUUCUUGCUUGCUUUUGUAAUAUUUCUCUCUGUCUGUCUCUGAUUGCUUGCUCACUCUGAGGAGAACAAAUGCCAUGCUGUGAGCAACCUGUAGAAAGGCCUACAUAAUAAGGAAAUAAAGUUUAUCAGCAAUGUUGGUGAGAGACUGAGACCACUAACAACCAUGUGAGUGAGCCUGGAAGCAGCGACUCUGACCACAGGCAAGCAGGAGAUGAUUAUCUUCCUAGCCAACAACUGGACUGCAACUUCCCGAGAGACUCUGUGCCAGAACCAUCCAACUAAGCCACGUUUAGAUUCUUGACUCUCAGAAAAUGUUAGAUGUAAUAAAUACUUGUUGUUUAAAGCU
rnacentral:lncRNA from 1 species